GGAAAAGGCAAGCAACAGCUGCGCUUGUUCUGCCGUUUCUUUAGCCAGGGACUGGAACACAGACAAAAUCAAGGGGCUCUUUGACCUGUGCAGGCUCCGAGCAUUUUUCAGCCUUCCCUAGCAGGGCAUUCUCACCCUCUGAAAAGCUGAAAGGCUUUAACAGCUGGAGACGCGCCUGCAGCUGUGCAGAUUAAUGUAGUUUCUUUGAGGAAACGAAGGGGAAGUUUUCCUGUUGUGAGCCUAAAUACCGAGUCUACUCUGCUUUUUCAAUCAGGUGACGAAGCUUAUGGAAAAAAAGACCAAAGGCCUCGAGGGAUGUUCUUCUUGAUCCCCCGGGGCAAAGGGAGGUGUCAGCGUCAGGAGCCAUCCUAACUGGGGCCCUGGUAGGCUCCCUGUUUUCCUUCGGUCGCCGUGGGUGUGCCGGACGCCUCUGGCAGGACUAACCCUGUGGCUUUUAUGUCCAACGUGCUGUGCUCUGCUGUGCUGUGUGUGCCUGCAGGCUCCCUGUUUUCCUUCGGUCGCCGUGGGUGUGCCGGACGCCUCUGGCAGGACUAACCCUGUGGCUUUUAUGUCCAACGUGCUGUGCUCUGCUGUGCUGUGUGUGCCUGCAGGCUCCCUGUUUUCCUUCGGUCGCCGUGGGUGUGCCGGACGCCUCUGGCAGGACUAACCCUGUGGCUUUUAUGUCCAACGUGCUGUGCUCUGCUGUGCUGUGUGUGCCUGCAGGCUCCCUGUUUUCCUUCGGUCGCCGUGGGUGUGCCGGACGCCUCUGGCAGGACUAACCCUGUGGCUUUUAUGUCCAACGUGCUGUGCUGUGUGUGCCUGCAGGUAAGAAAAGCUGGGAGUGCAGUCCCUCU